AAACCAGAUUUAAUCCACCAUUUUCUACAUAAGAAAAUGUCUGUACCAAGCCAGGACUAUUACAGUUGUUAACCAUUCGUUUGAUGUAUUUGAGUUUUUGAUUUUGCCAUUUGAUAAGGGACUUUUCGUUUGGAAUUUUUCUCGGAGUUCGGUAUUUUUUUUAUUAAAUUUUUUUCAAGAACAAUAGGUCUUUCUUUUGAGGGAACAACCCGGACCAUGUUUCAAUGAAAUAUGCUUCAAGGCAUAACAUAAUGACCUACAUAAGGUCAUCAUUUACCCUGAUUAAAAUGCAAACUAGAGUUUGUUAAAACAUUUCUUUUAAAAGCAGUCACAUGUUGAUGCCAACGGAGGUUUUCUGAACAAUUUCUAAUAUAUAAUCGUCUAUUGAAAAAGAGAGGCGAAGGAUACCAAAGGGACAAAGUCGAAAAUAAACUGACAACGCAAUGGCUAAAAAAACCAAACAAACAGACAAAACAUAGUACACAAAACACAACAUAGAAAACUAAAGACUGAGCAACACGAACUCAACCAAACAAUGGGGUGAUAUCAGGUGAUCUGGAAGGGUAAGCAGAUCCUGCUCCAUUAUUGAACAUAUAUUUUCUUAUAAAAUGAACUCUUCUUUUGAAGGUAUCUUAGUUAAUUGCGUAAAGAUACAGCACCGAGGCCGUACUGGCCAUGGAGGACAUAACUAUGAUGUUGUCCUUACAUCACAGACAAAAGAUGUGGAAUUUGGAAAAAAUAUGUCCCUUAUAUGUGAAGCAAAGCAUGCAUGUACGGUGAACUCGUGGUCGGUAAAAGAACAAAACGGAACAUACGAAACUGUAGUCAGAGAGUCAACACCAUUCAACAGAACAAAGUAUGGAGCACAUCUGAGUAAAAUGGAAAGAAGGACCAUUUAUGAAUUGAUUAUUUACCGUUUGGAGAAAAAUGAUGUGCGUAAUGACUACCGCUGCGAUUGCGAUACUCACUCCGGAUACAUAACUGACAUGUAUGACAGACUAACAUUUAUUAAGGAUACUAAGGGAACCAAAG